GACCGGCCGGCGGGGCCGGGGGAGGAGGAGGAGGAGCUCCCGGCGCCGAGGAGGAGCCCCGGGCCGGGCCGGGCCGGGAGGAGCCCCCGCAGCCCCGGCCCCGCUCGGGCAGCCCCGGCUGCGCACAGGUGGCGUCCCGGGCUGGGCAGCCUCGGGAAAACUUCUGUGGCUUCGCCCGUUCCGGGGGAAUUGUGAUUGCUGGCUGGGGAAGGGGGAUUGCAGGUGUCCAGUAAAGUAUAAAUCGUAUCACGGCUCUCCCCCCGAUCCACAGCAGUGGCUCCAGGAGAGCCAAACCUGUGCUUUAUUCCUGAGGCACCCUUGCAGCGUCCAGCGGCAAUUAACAGCCUGAUUCAUUGUCAGAGAUCUGGGGAGUAUUCCGUAUCUCUACUUUUUAAUGAAAUUUGUUUGUCGUCUGGGUGGAAGUUACUCUGUGUGGAUUUAAGGCAGUGAAUUACAUCUUGGUGCCAGGGUUAGGGAGUCACCGGCAGCUCAAGGUCUGUCACACACUAAAAAGUGCAAGCUAUUCCCAUCCCGUUUGCUGUUGUCCCCGGUGGGUGUGGAGACCAUCAUACUCCUGAGCUCUGGUUUCUCUUCCCUGCCGAGGCACUGCUCCUGGAUGGAAUUCCCUGCAGUGAUCUGCACCUCCGUGCAGAACGGUGACAGUCACCUCUAAGCUCAGUGGGGCAAGGGGUGUCUCUCCCUGUGAGCAUUGUGCACUUCACCCGGAGCACUGCGGGGUCUCAUUUCAGGCAAAGUCCUUUGUUGCCAUGGCAAUACAAAUGAAAAAUCUAUACUAUGGUAAUUUUAGAAAAAUACCUCCUUUUUUUCUAAACUAAAUUGGACUGUGGUUCAGAAUCGUGUGGGCACACAGAAACAGUCGUGCUGAUAUUCCUGAGCUGUAGCUGUUGAACAGCAGUUGUGUAGAGGGCUGUCAGCGAUGGGCUGUCAGCUUGGGCUGCUUCUCCCUGAUAUUGCAUAUGAUUUGUACUUGGCUUUGGAAAGGUUUCUUAGCAGGCUCUCAGCCUUUAUCUGCAGCAGAGAGGUGACUGGUUUUACUGAUCACGGUGCCAUGAACAAGAGUUUUGGCUUUUGUGCGACAGUCUGUAAUAAUCUCGUUGAUGAAAGUCUGUGUUUAAAAGUCUUUGCUGUCAAAGGGGAAGGACAUAUUAAGUAGGAUCUCCCAGGGAAUAAUCUGGGAACAGUUUUGGUUAGUUUUCUGUAACAACUUGGGUGAUAGAACGGAGAGCACUUUUACUACAUUUGCAGUGAUUCCAGCACGGAGUGCGAGGCUGAGAUUUAAAAUGACCCUGACACACUGCAGAGCCAGUCUGAACUCCGCACACUGAAAUUCCAGGAGAAAAAAAUUCUGUAGUAUGCCACAAAGAAGGGAUAUCCCGUGUCAGAUGAGGGCUAUUAGUUAGGCAAGAACACUGCAGAGGAGAGAGAACCUCGGGACUGGAGUGGCUCGCAGCCUGAGCGGUGCUGCAGAACAGCCGUGCUGCUCCGAGCUCUGUAGCAGGAGGAUCAGCUGUAAGACAUCAGAGGGCGUUAUUUCUGUUCCAUUUAGCACCAGCCAGGCUUGGCUGGAGCACUCUAUCCAGUUUCAAGCAUUACACUCACUCUUAAAGAAAGAUGUAGGCAAACCAGAUAGGAGAAUAGCAACCGAAAGUGUAAGAGGCUUAGAAAUGUAAGCUAUGAGGAAAGCUGGAAUUUUUUAUUUGAUCUGGAAAGAAAACACAAUAUAAGGACAUGGCAACUGUCUUCAAACAUAUAAACACAUUUAUAAAGAUGACAGUAAACAGUUAUUCUGUGACCACAAAUGACGGGAUAAAAAGCAAUUUGCUAAAGUGCAUUAGGGAGGUUACUUUAGAUAUCAGGGAAAAAAAACAAACAAACAAGACAAAACGAUUAUCCUGCUAGUAGCUGAAAUCUCAGGAGGUUGUAAAUCUGUUCAGUGAAGAUUUAAAGAAAAGAUUAGACAAGCAGCUCUCAGGACUGGCUGUUGCAUGCCUGGGGCAGGGAAGACUCCCAGUCACCUUCAUUUACCAGCCCACAUUUCAGUGAUUCCUGGUUGCCCAUCAGGUUACACUGAUCCUUCCAGGAAGAGGCAUAAAAAGAGAACUCAUUAUCACCCCUUAUGAUUAAUGCAGAUCUUUUUUACUAAAUCACCUCUGUGAUCAGGGUCUCGUUUCCAUCUGGAGACCAAGAGCAGCUCAUGGAGACACACAGAGAGCAGAACUAUCCAUGGCAAGUAAGCAGUUUUCAAAUCCAGCUUUGAGCAAUAAUGACUGAAAAUUGUUAUUACUCGAUGGUCAGUGUAAAUAUAAAUGUCCUGCAAUUUGCUUGGGACUCACUGUAGAACUCAUCACCUCAUUUGGACCCUUGCCUGGCAGAUUCAGUUGAGGUCAAGGAUUUCACAGACAUGAGGAGUCAGGUGUGAGAUCACUGGCUGUGGCCAAUAUUAAAUCUGUCCUGGCAAAUGGAGCUCUUCCCUCUUCAGGCAUGUCUGCCUGCAUCCUUCAUGAGCACAGAAUUCUUGUGGGAAGCAGAAGUGAUACCUGCCCUUGAGGGUCCCAAGGAGUACACUCUCAGUUUUCCUGCAGGGAUAACCUGACUGCAUGGUGGACUGGCCCAGGAUUUCCAGAGUAAAUUUACUGCUCUGUGCUCCUUGAGGAACUGGUACUGCCACAGAGAAAAAUUUCAAUCCCACUUUUAUUACUUUUACAGCCUGCGGCUGCUUUUCCUUCUGUUCCUUUGAUUGUUGAUGUUGAAAUCCUGUUCUAUGGGUUUCUCUGGCUUUUACAGAUAAUUCCAUCAUCAUUCUGCAGUCAGGAGCAGUGCUGCCAGCAAACAAGGUAUUCCAACUUCACAGCACCUUUCACCUCUCACUUUCCAAACAAAACAGGAAGCUAAAUUCCUCUCUUAUAAACAGAACUUAAAUAUCCACAUGGCUGAAAGGUGAGAAUUUUCCAAAACCAAGCUAUGACCAAGAAUUAUUCACAGAACUUAUUCAUCAGAAAAUUUCACCUAUUGAAUACAAUACACAAAUGCUAUCUGCUUGAGAACUCUGUUUACAGAGACAGAAGCAAAAUUCUUUGAAGAAAUAAUGGAUGGCAAAUUAUUCACCUGGUCCCAGAAAACUUAAUGGUUUUGCCUUUUAAGGAUGCCAUGUGAGGUAUAUGCAAAGUGUUAGGGUGGAAGUGGAAAGCACAGACACUGCUGCAAAGAGGUUCAGAAAGGUCUCAGAAAAACCACAUGACAAAGCCCAAGGUACCUUCUGUCAGCCAGAAGAAAUUGGUUAAAAGCCUCAGAAUUGCUGUUCCAAGUGUGUCUCAGAGCUCUUGGUGCUGCUGCCCUCGAGGACAUGGACCAGGUCCUGGUGUGUUUGGGUCUGGUGCCUUUUUCCAAGGAAUGCUAAAGAUUUCCUCACCUGCCUUGCUUGAGGUAAGGUAAUUUAAUCACUUUAUGCUCCCUUUGUUGCCACUUGAGAUGCAUUUGAGCAAAUGUGGUUGCUCACGUUAAGGUAUGAGAAUAAAUUGAGUCUGUCUCCACGGGUGAAUCAGAGCCCAAUUCAGUGUAAAGGGAAUCCCAAGGAAUUCUGGCACUGCUGCUCACAUCUGGUCAGCAGGAUCCCACCUGGAAUCACUUGCAUUGGCUCACAGAAGGUCUGCAGCACAGAGGGGAUUAAAUUUAGACAUCUUUCUGUCACCUUUAAUCACUAAACAAAUCCUCAGAUGUUUGUGUUUGGAGAAAAGCUUUCCUUCAGCUUCUUUCCUUGUACAGUUUUCUGGGAGUUUUGUGCCCGUGCAUGGGCAGAACCAGGCUCUUCUCCUCUUCUGCCUCUUUGUCCUUGCUGCAAAUCCCCCGGGGGAGCUCCUGCACGAGCUCCUGCACGUCGUGUCGUGUUAGUCGUGGCACUGAGGGAGCGAGGAGUAACACAUCCCUCCUCCAUCUGCAGCCCUGGAGAUGUGCUGUUUAUGUUUGCAAGGUGGCCGAUGUGACUAAAAUUAAUUUACAAUCUCCUGAGAUUUUACUCCAGUACCUCGUGCUGCCAACCUCCCCCAUAUUCCCUCUGCAGAUCCUUGGCUGGAGAGUGUGUGCUGGUACCUGUGAGCUGCUGGGAAGUGUCUGAGUAGGAUCCGUUGGUGGGCAGGGCACCAGAACCAACAUAAACUCUUACUCUACAAAGAAACUGGGAAAUGAACAGGGAAUGAACAGAAAGAAGUCAGGAGCAUGGCUGGGCAGAAAACUCUUUUUAAUUUAAAAGAAUACAGAGGUGUGGAUGUGCUCAAACAGCCUUGCAGGGGUUUGGUUUGACCUUUGCAGCUUUUUUUGCUCAGCUUAAUGCUGUAUCUCAAGUGCCUGGCUGUGCAACCCUCUGCUCCCAUCCAGAUUGCAUCCAACCCUGGAAAAUCCUGUAAGUGCAUGAGUGAGGAGAGGAAUCUCUGCAUGCAUACACUUUGCAUGUUUUGCAAAAUUCCUGCCUAAUCUAAAUGUGUGAUUACCUCCCUAGCAAAGGCUGAAGAGGAGAGUUUCCUCCUGCAGGUGACUCUUGUGGCACUGGAUUCCUUUGCAGCUGAAGUGUACAACUGUGGCUAUGGCACAAAACAGAGAAUCAGCUUCAAACUAUCAACAUUCCAAAAUAUUUGGUAAAAUGCAGAACUUCAACUGUGUUUAAAUAAUUAAUUUCUAUCGUGUACCAACAAGACCAGUGAUAGUGUUUACAGGAUAGGAAGGUUCUUGGGCUGAAAUGAGUUUCAGGGAACUGCUGUAUUGAAACUAUCAGGGACAGUGGAUUAUUUAUCAUGGCUCUGGUAGACUUCCAAAAACACUGUACGGUUUUUUUUCAGGUUACUGAACUGAAAGAGCCUUGCAAGGAUAAGAGAAAUGCCUUCCCAAGCAUGUGCUUCAGCAGCAGUAUUGUUCAGCUUCAUGAGUAAGAAUGGACAGUCAAAUAAAGUGCAGCAGACCAAUUUAAUUGGAAAAUGGGCACUGGAACAUCAACUCAGUGUGUGGUGGAGAGAUACCAUCUCCUGUAUUUCGAUUCUUCAUCCAUUAGCAGCUGUAACAACAACAUCUCCUUAGUCUGUGACCUUCCUAAACUGGUGCCUAUCUGGCUCAGUUGACAUUUCCUGGACUUUCUGAAGAGAUUUUUGGGUCCUUUCUACCCAGAUGAUUCAAGAACUGGCAGGGUAAUGAAGCAAGAAAUACUGUGCAAAUAAAGGCUGAUCAACGGUGAUGGCUUUCACUUCCCAUUCUCUUGAGCAGCUGGCAGCCACUAUUUAAUCCUCAUUUACCUCCCUCUGGAUGAAGGCAUUGGCCCUGCAGCUGGGAAGGCUCUCACAGCCAGCACUGAAUGCAGGUCAGCAGGAAUUACCUGAGGCUUCCUACAGCAAGUGGAUUUUUGAGAAAGAAGUUCACUGGGGCCACAACCGGCGGCAGUUCCCUGCAGAGCCUGCAGUGAUGUGAGAACAGAGAGGAGCAGUGAGUGCCUGUUGGGAGUGCACUGGGCUCCUGGCAUCCUCAGCUGUUUUCCACCCACCCUUGAAAACCAUCUCUGGCCCAAAAUGGAACUGUGAGCUGUACCACAUGCUCCAAAUGAAGUGCUAAUUAAAUACUUCUACUUAAUGUAGACAACAUUUCUUUGAGGAGCCUGUAAUGUAUCGCAGAUGUGGCGAAUCCCUUGGAGAGCGGAGAAGGAGCAAUGUGCAUGUUGGAUCCCUCUGUGAGUGACCUUGGUAUUGGGAAUACUGCAGGUGCUUCCAUAUGGAUGCACACACUGACACAUGGGACAUAAAUGGUGGAGAUGUGGAGCUUGAUGGGUACUUGAGUCUUAAGAAAAACAGCAGCCACUUGCCAGGUCAUGAGGAAGCCUUCUCCCACUCCCUGUGUCCUGGUGGUUCUUGUUAGAGGAGAAAUUGCAUCUCUUGGCACUGCUGGACAUGAGAGCUGCUCUGGUUUCCGAGGCGUUGCUUUUCGCUGGACCCAGCCCCUGAUCCUGAGGGGGAUGAAAUCCAAUUUGCCUCCAGUGCUGACAGGUUUUCAGCCGGAUCUGCAGCCAGGUAAGAGGCUCCUGCAGCCACACCAUGCCAAGAUUCCCUCUUCUUGGGUGUCACUCCUUCCUGCUGCCAAGGCUCCUGCAGUUCCUGCUGCCUGGGAUUACUGAGGCAUCAGUGCCAUUGGUAGAGCCGGAGGGGAACAACGAGGGAAGCAGCAAAAUGGGUCAGGUAUAAUGUCAAUACACAAUGGGGGCAACUCCAGCCUCUAAACCAGCAAGGUCUGGGUUUGAGCAGUGAUUAAUAAACCCAUGUUAUUACAGGGUAGAAAAUAUACCUUGAAUUUCUGCUCAUAACAACUACUCAGUGACUUCCUGCUUAGUAUGCAAAUGUUGUACCCACCGAAGUGGAAAUAAACCUGGAAUUUGCUGUCUUUGCAGCAGGAUUUCAGCCAUUCUUGAAGUCCCACUUUCUACCACAUAACAUAAAUGAAGUGAAUACCUUUCACUUCUGCUUUAGAGGGAUCCAUAAAUCAGAAACAAAGGACAGAUGAAAAACAGGCUGGUGUUUCUCCUAGAGCAGCAGGAAUGCUGUGCCAACAGCAACAGUGUCAACGUGACCUGCGGUUUCCAUGCCAGAUGAUUCCAUGGAACUUGAGGCUGCUCACCUUCCAGGGAGCCAGCCCUCACCUGCAGCACUCAGCCUCCCUCAGGGGUCAUUCCUCGGUAAGAGGUGCUGGCAGCCACCUCAAACCUCAUGAAUUUGGGGGAGCAGGGCUGUGGGUAUUGAUGGGGGCUCAGACUUCUGAUAACUGGGUUUGUGCCUGGUUGUCAUCGCAGCUGCUGUGCAAACACUGGUUAAACACAGAGCUGCUGUGAGUAAUAGAAAAGGCCUCAUCCCUGACCAUCACCCCCUGCCUGCUGUGUGGGUCACAGGAGCGGAGAUCAGCCCAGAAAAUUCCCUGCUUUCUUUGGAGGGAACCAGGCAGCACAAGCUAUAAUUUCAGUGGUCUGCUGAAUAAAGAGGUGCCUUUGUACUGCAGUCACCUCCAAUGCCUGGCUUUGGCCCAUUGGUGUGCAUGCAGCUCCUGCCAGCCUCUCCCACCACCUCCUUCUCCAGAAUUUUUAGGAACCUGAGUGGGAUCUUGAUGCAAAGGGGAACUGAGGAACUCAUUAAAGAAGAAAUAUUCUGUACUCUGACAUCCUUAUGCACAUCCCACUUGUGUUGCAACUGCUGAGUUGUUCUUCUUCACUGGUUCUCAGUGAGAAUCCCUCUCCUUCAAAUUCCUAUCCAGUUUGACAUGAAAAAUGAAGAAAACUCCUGGAUUCAGCUGACAUUUACUGUUUGAAAUACCAAUCACAGUGCUCAGAGUCAGAAAAAAAUGGCUUUUGAUCCCAGGUUGGAUAAAGGCUGAGUAAGCUUGGGUUGCCUCAGUUUCCUACAAUAAUAGAAUUUCUCAGAAGGGCUUUGAGACCUGGAGGGCAAGUCCUUGCUAGUGACCUGCAAAUCAUGUUAUUCUUUAAUGGAAUAUAUUACUCUUUCUUCCCCCAUUUCCCACCCCACCCAAAUAAGCUCUAAUGCACGACCUCCCUUGCUUUGUGUGGUUCAGGAGUGACAGAUCACUUCUCCCUCAGCACUAAGAUAGAUCAAUACAUAGAUAUUUUGCAGCAGGCUUGAAGUGUUUCCUCAGACAGAUGCUCUGUUACAUGAGAACAAUACAAUCUUUGGAGGAAAGGAAGGGUGUCCUUCUCGGUGUUUACAGAGAGAGGUGGCAAGUUGCUUAGUCAAGGCUGUCACUUGAUGCCAAUACAUUGUUCCUUGCAUUGAGAUGAACUGUAAAGGAAGCUGGAGGUUGCAGGGGCACUGGAAGGACCUAAGAGGUCAGUUAUGGAAGGAUUCGGUAAAAGUUGUCUCACAAAUCUCUUCUUCUAUGUCUGACUUCUGGCAGGGAGUCCAGAAAAUUCCUUCCUGAUAAUUUCGUUAACUGUGAAAUAAAAGAGAGAGGAGGAAAUGUUAGAGCACUUUCAAACCCACGACAAGUGGAAAGUAAAAGCAAUCCUUGGGCAGUUUGCUGUCAAGCUGAAAACAUCCCCUCCAUUCAUAACAUAAUUUUAUUAAAGCCUAAAACUUUUAGUCCUAUUUACCCAGACUACAUAUUUUUGGAAGGCAAGGGGAAAGGAGUAGAGAGAGGGGGUUUACACUGUGUUCAGCUUCAAGUACCAUAAAACACACCUGAGAGGCUGCACCAGGAAGCCAGUACCUGCCACAUCCCCCACACACAACACUUGCCCUCCGGCACAGACAUUGCCCUUACCCGAGGGAAAAAAGAAAAAUCUCAAAGUCUCUAAGCAUUUUAACACAUUCACUAGGCUGAAAUAAGAUUAUUUUGAAGAGAAAAAAGGCCAAGUUUGGAGGAAAUACAGUGAACAGUGAAGAAAACACAGAGACUGCAAUUCAGGUGAGAGAGUGUAGUUUGUGUUUGGGUGGUUCUUGUUUGCUUUUCUUUUUCUUUUUUAAUCGAUAAUCUCACUCUAAACUCUCUUUGCUCUACAUUUUUAUUAUAGUUUUGUCUGUAGACUGUAGCAUAAGCAACUUCCAUGCACCACCAGGAUACUGUCAGAGGCUGGGACAGGCUUGUUAAUAAAACUCAAGAGAAGACACUGAAAAA